rnacentral:rRNA from 1 species
UGGGGAAUUUUGGACCAUGGGCGCAAGCCUGAUCCAGCCAUGCCGCGUGAGUGAAGAAGGCCUUCGGGUUGUAAAGCUCUUUCGGUGGGGAAGAAAUGGUUUCGGUUAAUACCCGGAACUGAUGACGGUACCCGCAUAAGAAGCACCGGCUAACUACGUGCCAGCAGCCUCGGUAAUACGUAGGGUGCGAGCGUUAAUCGGAAUUACUGGGCGUAAAGCGUGCGCAGGCGGUUGUAUAAGUCAGAUGUGAAAUCCCCGGGCUCAACCUGGGAACUGCAUUUGAGACUGUGCGGCGAGAGUGUGGCAGAGGGGGGUAGAAUACCACGUGUAGCAGUGAAAUGCGUAGAGAUGUGGAGGAAUACCGAUGGCGAAGGCAGCCCCCUGGGCCAAUACUGACGCUCAUGCACGAAAGCGUGGGGAGCAAACA